rnacentral:rRNA from 1 species
AGUGAACGCUGGCGGUAGGCCUAACACAUGCAAGUCGAACGGCAGCACAGUAAGAGCUUGCUCUUACGGGUGGCGAGUGGCGGACGGGUGAGGAAUACAUCCGAAUCUACUUUUUCGUGGGGGAUAACGUAGGGAAACUUACGCUAAUACCGCAUACGACCUACGGGUGAAAGCAGGGGAUCUUCGGACCUUGCGCGAUUGAAUGAGCCGAUGUCGGAUUAGCUAGUUGGCGGGGUAAAGGCCCACCAAGGCGACGAUCCGUAGCUGGUCUGAGAGGAUGAUCAGCCACACUGGAACUGAGACACGGUCCAGACUCCUACGGGAGGCAGCAGUGGGGAAUAUUGGACAAUGGGGGCAAGCCUGAUCCAGCCAUACCGCGUGGGUGAAGAAGGCCUUCGGGUUGUAAAGCCCUGUUGUUGGGAAAGAAAAGCAGCAGGUUAAUACCCCGCUGUUCUGACGGUACCCAAAGAAUAAGCACCGGCUAACUUCGUG